AUUGAACGCUGGCGGCAGGCCUAACACAUGCAAGUCGAGCGGAGCGGCGGACGGGUGAGUAAUGCCUGGGCAUCUUCCUGGUAGUGGGGGAUAACGUCCGGCAACGGGCGCUAAUACCGCAUACUAUCACAUGAGCCUCGGUCGGUGUAGCUAGUUGGUGGGGUCAAGGCCUACCAGGGCGACGAUCCGUACAUGGUCUGAGAGGAUGAUCAGUCACACUGGAACUGAGACACGGUCCAGACCCCUACGGCAGGAAGCAGUGGGGAAUAUUGGACAAUGGGCGAAAGCCUGAUCCAGCCAUGCCGCUUGAGUGAAGAAGGUCUUCGGAGUGAAAGGCACUUUAAGUUGGGAGGCGUUACCAACAGAAUAAGCACCGGCUAACUUCGUGCCAGCAGCCGCGGUAAUUC
rnacentral:rRNA from 1 species